UUCUCUGUAGCUUAACUGGUAAAGCAGCUGUUUGUCAGCAGUACAUAGAGGUUCGAAUCCUCUCAGAGACA
rnacentral:tRNA from 1 species